rnacentral:rRNA from 1 species
GCACGAGAAGGGGCUUCGGCCCUGGUAAAGUGGCGCACGGGUGAGUAACACGUGGGUAAUGUUCCCUCGGGCGGGGGAUAACCUUCCGAAAGGAGGGCUAAUACCGCAUAAGACCACGGCCUCGGAGACGAGGCUGCGGUAAAAGCAGGCCUCUACAUGUAAGCUUGCACCUGAGGAUCAGCCCGCGGCCCAUCAGCUAGUUGGUAGGGUAAUGGCCUACCAAGGCUAAGACGGGUAGCUGGUCUGAGAGGAUGAUCAGCCACACUGGAACUGAGACACGGUCCAGACUCCUACGGGAGGCAGCAGUGGGGAAUCUUGCGCAAUGGGCGAAAGCCUGACGCAGCGACGCCGCGUGGGUGAUGAAGGCCUUCGGGUUGUAAAGCCCCUGUGGGGAGGGACGAAUAAGUCGGAGCCAAUACCUCCGGCGAUGACGGUACCUCCUUAGCAAGCACCGGCUAACUCUGUG